UUUAAACCAUGGAUGGUUGAGGAAGAAUAAUCAAAUGAUGAUCUUUAUCUCCUUUAAUCUCUUGUGAGAUGGUGUCAACAAGAUGAUGAUCUUUAUCCCCUUUAAUCUCUUGUGAGGUGUUGUCAACAAUGUGAGGAUCUUUAUCUCCUUUAACAUUUUGUGAGGUGUUGACAUCAAAAGUAUUUCCUACUUUGUCUCCAUUGAUACUAUGUUUGGCUUUACGUAGAGAUUUGCAAGGAUAAACGGUAUUGUACCAACUUGCAUAUUUUUGAGCAUCAUCAUCUAAUUCAAAAUCUAUAGACCUUCUUGGUGGACCACAUACAACUUUGGUAUUAUCUCCAUAAGAACGACGUUUGAUGGGUCUAGCUGCACUUGCAAUUUCAACAAAGUUGAUGCUAAACAAAAGAAUGCCAAUAAAAACGGCCAUGUUCUUCUUGGAGACCACCAUUUUCGAUAUUGUGUAAGUUGAUAAACAAUACAGUGCUUUGAGCUACAAUUGCUUGUUGAGACCAAGAACUUAAAAUGUGAAGAUUUAUAUUAAGGUAAAUACUUUUCUGUUGUCUUCUUUUAGGUGAGUUUAGUUUCAAUUGCCAUCUCCCAAAUUUGUUGGAAGUAAUGAGAUAAGAAAAAUGGUUUGAAAUGGAGGGUUGCCAUUUUGUCCAAAAAUAACCAUUUUUAUGUUUUUUUUUUAUAGUCUUUUUAAUCACAUCUUCAUAUAUUCAAAUUUGGUUUUCAAAUAUAUCAUUGUUGUUAGUAUAUACCAACUAAGAAAAUUCAUCUUCCUCGUUCCAACACCGAAACUAUUAAAACUUAUAUUGAAUUAUUAAAAACGUAAGUUUUACGAUACUUCAUGAUUAUACAAUAAAAUUUCAAUAUUGUAUAAAGCAAUAAAUGUCAAAAUCUUUAAACUAGAUUAUUUUUCACAACAUUGGUUAGAAUGACGUACUUUGAUCCAUGAUAAUGAUCUUCCAAGAGUUGUGUUUUUCUCGUUGAGCCUUCCUUAAUAAGCUAAGAUUUGAUUACUUUGUUGAUGAAGAAAAAACUACUUGAUUGAGGUAGAGAGAGGACUAAUCCCUAGAAUUUUUAUACAAACACCUCUCAUCAAGGUGUCUCAUCAAGGUAUUAUAUUAGGCUUCACACCUCAUCUCGUAGGUAGAGAUGGUGCUAGGGAGGGUGUGUGACAAAUAAUAAAAAAAUAAAAUAAACAAUAAAAUGUGAAGCAAAUAUAUAUGCAUAUUAAUAUACAUAAGAGAAGGUUACAAGAUAAUAAAGAAAUGAAUGCAAGAGAAAGGAAAAUAGGGAAAUAAGAAGAACAAUACCUGAAAAAACAGAAAAAAUAAAAAUAUGUUGAAAUUCAAAAUAGUUAACUGUUGUUUAAAAUGUGGAUCAAUUUGGAAUCUAAGCCCUAUCAUACACCUCCAACUAAAUUAGAGUUUUUCUGUGCGUUGGAAUUUUGGUAUUGUAGAGAGUCUUUUGGAGAAAGAUGAAGAUUUAAGGGUUUGUUAGAACUUAGAAGAUAAAAAAAAAAGAUAGAUGUUAUAGGUCUUCUGUUUUUCUUUUUCUUUUUCUAAGAAGAGAUCAAUGCUAAAACAAUCAGUGGCUAUGGAGAUUAAAUCAGGUUGGGAUGAAGACGAGAUGUGAAGCUUGUAAUAAUCUCUAGGAUUUUUAUUUGUGGCUUUUUCUUUAUGUCAUGCCUCCAUCCCAUGGAUGAAGAAAAAAGAUUAUUUAAUUUGAAAUAAUACUAACAUUAGCAUUCAUCUCAAAAUGAAAUAAUAGAACCUUUUAAAAAGUUACCAUAACAUUUAGUAUUUCUUCACCUACCUUACUUAGUUAGUACAAUUAAUGUAUUUAGUUACUCUAAACAAGUAGUUAAAUAACAUUUUUUUAAACAAAAGUUAGAUUAAUCAAAAAAUUAAAAAAAUAGCCAAAUAAUUAAGGAAAAAACUAAUUGAGUUAAUUUUAAAUGAGGUUGGACAAAUGGCUACACAUAUUGCCAAAAACAAAAUUAGUGAUUAUCAAUAAUGUACUAAUAAAAAUAAGUAAAAUGAAAUGAAAAGGCAACCAACCCCAUUUGGUUUCAACAUGAUUUUUGUGUCUAGAGAAAAAUUGAAUAAAUAUGUUUUAACCCCAUAAAUUAAAUUAAAAAAAAAAAAGACUAAAAAUGAAUCAUUUUUAUUCUUUCUCAUGGCUUAUCAUCAUAUAAGAAAACAACAUUGUAGAAUAUUUUAUUGAAAUAUUCUUAAAAAAUACAAUAUAAAUGAACUUAAUGAUUUUAAAUAUUAUAUGGUUGAGGAUUAACAAUAUGUCUAUCCCCACGAUUUUUUCCUGAGCCAUAUGUAACCCUAUAAUUUCUUGCAUCAUCAUCUCCAUCAUUUGUAUAAUGCUCGUAUUGCAGACGUCUACAAGAAUUUAUUUUCUUGUUUCUUACAUAUUUGUCACCAUCAUGUAGUUCUUCAACUCUAGAAUUUCUUUGUUUAUGACAUAGAAAUUUUUGUUUGAUACGUCUAGUUGCACUUGCAUUUUCAACAAACAUCAUGCUAAAUACAAGAACACCAAUAAAAACAAGCAUGCACUCUUUGGAGGCAAUCAUAAUGGAUAAUGCAAGUCUGCUACAAUUGUUGGUUGUGACAAAGGACUUGAAAUGUAGUUCUUAUAUUGGGGAGAAUUCUUUUCAAUUGGCCUGUUUUAGGUGAGUUUAGUUUCAAUUGUAUCAUUGAAAUUUGUUGGAUGUAAGAAGAUCAGUGAAAUUUUUGUUGAAAAUGGAGGGUUGAUAUUUUGCCAAAACGACAGAAAAACCUCUCUUUUUUCUUUCUAUUUAAUUUUGACAUCAAACCUCUCUCUACAUUGUUUUGUGUUUACCAAAAUUAUAGAAAAGAUUGAUUUUCCACAUUAUACUUUUCACACCCUAACAAUUGAACUUUAUCAUUGAUUGGAGAAGAAAAAACAAACAAACCAUUAUUAUUGUUAACUUAUAAAUCCAAUUAUCCUCUCACCGUUUUACACUUUUUAAAUUUUCCUAGAUUUAGACAUUUAUAUAUUUUCAAUACAUUUAUAUUUUAUCUUCUUAAAUGACAAUUGUCGCCACGUGCCUGAGACGACGCGGAGCGGCCGACGUCCUCAAAAGAGCUAGUUUUAAAAUAAAAUAGAAGUCGCCACCAAUCUUUUUUACGGUGUGAUUGGAUACCGAAAUAAAAUAAACAAUUUUAAAAAUAUGGUCUGCGAAAAAUAGAAUUGAGUUCGGUAGUCAUUUGUGUGUGGGGAAGGUAUUAGCACCCCGCAACACCCAUUUAGAAAAACGGUGGCCAAAUUUAAAAUCUUGAAUUGAAAAUAUUUUGAAAUUUAUUUUAAAACUAAUGUUUUAUUUCAUCCCUCAUUACUCCAACAUUUGAAACAAUGAUCUCAUAAAAUAAGUGGAAUUAUAUUCCAUUAAUUAGACUAUAUAUUGAAGAAAAGUUUCUCACCUUAAGAAAAUGAGAAAUUAUUACAAUUUCUCAAAAUCUAUCAUAGACUAGUCUUUGAAUAAAGAUUUUUUUAAAACAUUGAUUAAAUUCAUUUUUUCUUGGGAUCAAAUCUCGGACUUCCAAAAUUAAAUAGAAAGAAAAAAGAAUAGUUGUAAAGGAAAAAAUUUCUAAACAGUUAAAAAAGAAAUUUUAAAAAAGAUCCUCAAAAUUAGAUCAAUAGGAAAUAAUGCACAAUAAAUCAAAUAUAAUAUACCAUAAAUUAAGCGAGUAAUAUAAGAUUUUAUUUUUUUAAAAAGAAAUAUUGGAAAUCGAAUCUUGGAUUCCCAAAGAACCGAUUCCCUCACCUCAAGAAUUUAAAAAUAACGGACUCCCAGAUAUUUCUAAUUCCAUCGUUGGAUUUUUUUUAGAAUGAUAAAAUGUAAAAAUAAAUACGAUAUAAGAAGAAAAAAAAUGAUUAAUAUAAAAUACCAUGGAAACAUUCCAAAGUGCAAAAAAAUAUUCAUAAGUUUAAAACUACGUAACAAUAAUGAUUAUGCAUGCAAUAAAAAUAAUUUAAAAUAAAUAAAAAGAAAAUAGAAACGGUAGAUAACGAAAAUGAAUAAAUAAAUAAAUAAAAUUAAAGAAAAAAUAAAUAAAUGAAAUAAAUAAAUAAAUAAUGAAAAAUGAAAGAAGAAAUAAGGAAAAAAGAAAUAAAAGGAAGAAGAAUUAGAAGAGAAAGAAAAACAUUUUUUUUAAAAAAACAGAAGUGUGACCGCAAGACCCCAUCGUAAUAAUAAUUAUUAUUAUAACAAAUAAAUAAUUAAAUAAAUAGUAAUUAUAUAAAUAAAUUAAUAAUAAUAAGUUUUAAAUAUAUAGAAAGCCAUGGUUAUAAUAAUAAAGUUAAAAAGAAGAAAAAUAGAAGUAAAAAAAAAACAGUAAUAAAGUUAAAAGGAAGAAAAACAGAAAUUAAAAAAAAAAACAGUAAUAAAAAAGACGUUAAUAACAAAUAAAAUUAUAUUAAUAAUAAUAAGUAUUUGAAAUUUUCUUUAUAUAUGUUUUUAAAGAGAAUAAAGUAAAGAUAAAAAAAAAAGUCUUAUGUCUUUUUCUUUUUCUCUAUUUUAGGGAGAAGAAAACACUAAGGUUUUUUUUUUUUUAGAAAAAAAAGAUAAUAAGAAAGAAAGUAAAAGAAAGUAAAAAUAAACAAAUAAAUAAAAAAUAAAAAUACUUACCUUGGCACAAAUUUUUUUUUCUUCCGCACAGAUUCUCUAACAAAAUUUUCUCUAAAGACUUUUUGUAAGAAACUUUUCCUCUCCUCCAUUUUUUUUCAAAUGACGAGGGUUUGUACCACAAAUUAGGAAAAAAUAAUAAGAAUAAAAUUAAAAUUUGAUAUUAUAUUAAUAAAACAAUUUUUCAUUUUCCUAAAAUAAAUUAAAUGAGAUAUUUUGAGAUUUUGUGAAAAAUAAAUUAAUACAUUAAAUGAAUAUUAAAAUAAUUUUAUUUAAAAUUGAUUUUUUUUCUAAAAUGAUUUAAGUAAGUCAAAAUUGAUAUUAGAAGACAAAUUCAUUCUUUUUUUUCCUAAAAUGAUUUAAAAUGAAAUAUUAUAAGAUAUUAUGUUAUUAUUAAUUUUUUUACUUUUCUAAAGUAUAUAAAUAAAUAAAUAAUUUAGCAAUUAUUUCUAAUAUUAGUAUUUAAAAAAAUAUAUAUAUGUGUAGGAUAAAAGUAGGUGGCUACAACAAUUAUAAUUUAUAUAUUAAGAGUUAAAAGAGUGACAACAUGUAUAUACUAUCCAAUAAUGGAAGAAUACAAGCAUGGCACUUUUUAGGAAUAAUGGUGUAAGACAUUAUUUAAUUUCCAUACCUUAUAUUGACAUGCUAUUGAGAUGUUCCUUUUAAUUGGAAAGAAAAUUGAAUAAAAAAACGACGUUGAAUCUAAUGUUAUAACUAUCUGAUAGUAUGGAGUUUCAUCUCAAAACUAGUUGAGAGAAGAAUAGUCCAUCAAUGUUAUAAGAAGUUCUAGUGUUCUCUUAGUUUUUCCAAUGUAAGAUUCUCAACAAUAACAAGAUAGGUAACAAAGUAAAGAGAGAAUAAAGAGAAAAUAACACCAAGCACUUGGUAACCCUAAUUCGGUGGAAUACAUCUACAUCUAGGGGCUAUGCCAAAUUGAAAUUUUUUUUUACUAGAGUAUAAAUGGAUUACGAGUAUUCAGUUUGUCUUUUAAUAGACAAUCUUGACGUGCAAUAAAAUUACUCUAAACCAUCACUUAGGCUUCUCCUAAGUAGUUAAUACUUGAUUGAUAUCGAUAUGCAUUGCAGAAGUCAGACUUUCUCUAAAUAUAUCAACUCUAGUAAUAUAUAGUGUGAUUAGGCUCCCCGUAAAUACUAUAUUUCAUCUUCUCAAUCAAUGUUGAACAAUUUGAUAGUGACUAACAUUAUAUCAUGAAUACCAACGAUAAUCUUUCUUCACAAUGCAUGAAUUUCUUUAAUUUGCACUAAAACAUUGAGAACAUAUGGCUGUCACACUCUUGCAAGAACAAAACACACCACCAUUAAAAGGACCACACCAAAUAAGGGAAAGACAAUCAUCCAACCACAGAAACCAUCCACAAUCAAUUGACCAAAGCAACAAGGAAAGUUUUUAACAAGGCAACAAAUAACUAUAAAACGAUAAAAGAGGUAAGAAAGCACUUUGUUAUAAGAUGAAAACACCAAGUUGGACACUUGUAAAGCUUCUCCCUUUUAUCUACACGAAACAAAGCUAAUUCAAUUUGGUGGGAAGCUUUUAGACUCCAUUUUUCAUUCUCUUUCUCUUUGUUUCUGUUACUUCUCUCCGUCUAACGUUCUUUUUGUUAAUAAGAUUUGCAUAUUUGAUUUGAGUUAAAGAAUAAAUCAAUAUCAGGAGGCUAAGUUAUUUGCAAGUACAAUGAGAAGACGAAAAGAAAUAAUUAGAACACUUAGGAUUUCAAGUGGUUCGACCACUAUCACAAUGCCUACAUCUGCUCUUAUUUAGUUGUUUAUAAUCUCUUUUACUUCUAUUAAUUUCGCUGUCCUAAACAAAUUUAAAUUAAUACAAGCAUGAAUAAGUCUUAUGUGAUAUACCACUAUAUACAUUUCUUCAAAUUUAACCUAAAAACAAAGUUAUUGUCUGCCGUCAAUUUUGAUUUUUUUUUAUUGUUUUUAUAAAAAAGAAUAACAUGUACAAUAUUAUUUAAUUCUUCGAAACACAGCAAAUAAAAUAUUAAUAAACAUUGCACAUUAUUUUAAACAAUGGAUGGUUGAGGAAGAAUAAUCAAAUGAUGAUCUUUAUCUCCUUUAAUCUCUUGUGAGAUGGUGUCAACAAUAUGAUGAUCUUUAUCCCCUUUAAUCUCUUGUGAGGUGUUGUCAACAAUGUGAGGAUCUUUAUCUCCUUUAACAUUUUGUGAGGUGUUGACAUCAAAAGUAUUUCCUACUUUGUCUCGGUUGAUACUGUGUUUGGCUUUACGUAGAGAUUUGCAAGGAUAAACUGUAUUGUACCAACUUGCAUAUUUUUGAGCAUCAUCGUCUAAUUCAAAAUCUAUAGACCUUCUUGGUGGACCACAUACAACUUUGGUAUUAUCUUCAUAAGGACGACGUUUGAUGGGUCUAGCUGCACUUGCAAUUUCAACAAAGUUGAUGCUAAACAAAAGAAUGCCAAUAAAAACGGCCAUGUUCUUCUUGGAGACCACCAUUUUCGAUAUUGUGCAAGUUGAUAAACAAUAUAGUGCUUUGAGCUACAAUUGCUUGUUGAGACCAA
rnacentral:lncRNA from 1 species